rnacentral:rRNA from 1 species
UACGGGGGGAGCAAGCGUUGUUCGGAUUUACUGGGCGUAAAGGGCGCGUAGGCGGCCAGCACAAGUCAGUUGUGAAAUCUCCGAGCUUAACUCGGUAAGGUCAACUGAUACUGUGCGGCUAGAGUGCGGAAGGGGCAACUGGAAUUCUUGGUGUAGCGGUGAAAUGCGUAGAUAUCAAGAGGAACACCUGCGGCGAAGGCGGGUUGCUGGGCCGACACUGACGCUGAGGCGCGAAAGCCAGGGGAGCGAACGGG